GCGGGUGUGGCGGAAUUGGCAGACGCGCUGGAUUUAGGUUCCAGUACCGCAAGGUGUAUGAGUUCAAGUCUCUUCACCCGCACCA
rnacentral:tRNA from 1 species